AUUGAACGCUGGCGGCAGGCUUAACACAUGCAAGUCGAACGAGUGGCGGACGGGUGAGUAAUGCUUGGGAAUCUAGCUUAUGGAGGGGGAUAACUACGGGCAACUGUAGCUACUACCGCGUACCAUAGGAUGAGCCCCAUUUGGCUUAGGUAGUUGGUGGGGUAAAGGCUCACCAAGCCGACGAUCUCGAGCUGGUCUGAGAGGAGGACCAGCAAAACUGGGACUGAGACACGGCCCAGACUCCGACGGGAGGCAGCAGUGGGGAAUAUUGCGCAAUGGGGGCAACCUGACGCAGCCAUGCCGGGUGAAUGAAGAAGGCCUUCGGGUUGUAAAGUUCUUUCGGUAGCGAGGCGUUAACUACAGAAGAAGCACCGGCUAACUCCGUGCCAGCAGCCGCGGUAAUA
rnacentral:rRNA from 1 species